GGGCCCGCACAAGCAGCGGAGCAUGUGGUUUAAUUCGAAGCAACGCGAAGAACCUUACCUAGACUUGACAUCUCCUGAAUUACCCGUAACUGGGGAAGUCCUUCGGGACAGGAAGACAGGUGGUGCAUGGUUGUCGUCAGCUCGUGUCGUGAGAUGUUGGGUUAAGUCCCGCAACGAGCGCAACCCUUAUCAUUAGUUGCUACCAUUAAGUUGAGCACUCUAGUGAGACUGCCCGGGUUAACCGGGAGGAAGGUGGGGAUGACGUCAAAUCAUCAUGCCCCUUAUGUCUAGGGCUACACACGUGCUACAAUGGUGAGUACAGAGAGACGCAAGACCGUGAGGUGGAGCAAAACUCUAAAACUCAUCCCAGUUCGGAUUGAAGGCUGAAACUCGCCUUCAUGAAGCCGGAGUUGCUAGUAAUCGCGAAUCAGCAUGUCGCGGUGAAUACGUUCCCGGGCCUU
rnacentral:rRNA from 1 species